AUGGGCAGGCCUAGAGGUGGGAAGGCCAAGGAAUCGAUGGAAGCUGCGAAGAACGAGGACGCCGGUAGCGCGGGCGAGGAGGUGAUCCCAGCCUACAAGAGGAGGGGACGGCCACAGAAGCUUCUCAAGCACGACGCCGAUGAGGAAGAGGACACCGCCAAGGUUGAAGACGACGGCGACGGCACAAAAGAAAAGAUUGCGCCACGCAAGGAGUCGACGGGCGCAGCCGGGAACGGAGGGAAGAAGAGGCGGCGGCAGUCGAAGCGCGGCUCGGAGUCAGCAACGGAGGAGAAGGGCGGCGCGCCGGCGAGGGCGCCGACCGGAUUCCGGCAGAAUGGGAGCCGGCGGAAGAGCACCCCGCGGAGAGCUGCAGAGGCGGGGGUGGAGAGCAAGUGA
rnacentral:rRNA from 1 species